rnacentral:misc_RNA from 1 species
GAUGAAGAACGUAGCGAAAUGCGAUAAGUAGUGUGAAUUGCAGAAUUCAGUGAAUCAUCGAAUCUUUGAACGCACAUUGCGCCCUUUGGUAUUCCAAAGGGCAUGUCUGUUCGAGCGUCAUUUGUACCCUCAAGCUUUGCUUGGUGUUGGGCGUCUUGUCUCUAGCUUUGCUGGAGACUCGCCUUAAAGUAAUUGGCAGCCGGCCUACUGGUUUCGGAGCGCAGCACAAGUCGCACUCUCUAUCAGCAAAGGUCUAGCAUCCAUUAAGCCUUUUUUUCAACUUUUGACCUCGGAUCAGGUAGGGAUACCCGCUGAACUUAAGCAUAUCAAUAAGCGGAGGA